UGGUGGAGUGAUUUGUCUGGUUGAUUCCGUUAACGAACGAGAUCUUGGCCCUUCAAUGACAGUGUGAUCGACUUGUAGUUCAAUGCGUUGGCUUCUGCUUAACACUGUUGAAUGAGAUCAUAGCUUGUACUCAAGGGGACGAUGCAUGUUUACAAUGCAUGGAAGUGCGAGCCAAUAGCA
rnacentral:rRNA from 1 species